UGGGCAGGUAGACCGGAUCGAAUUCGAGGUCGUUGCCCUCGGUGCGCAGGUGGUGCAGGCGCAGGUCCUCGAUCAUUCCGCGGCUGCGCACC
rnacentral:tRNA from 3 species